GGCGCACGGGUGAGUAACGCGUUGGAUAAUCUGCCCGAUGCUCAGGAAUAACAUCUCGAAAGGGGUGCUAAUACCUGAUAAGCCCACGGGCUCUUCGGAGUUUGCGGGAAAAGGGGGGGACCUUCGGGCCUCCCGACAUCGGAUGAGUCCGCGUCCCAUUAGCUAGUUGGUGGGGUAAAGGCCUACCAAGGCGACGAUGGGUAGCUGGUCUGAGAGGAUGAUCAGCCACACUGGAACUGAGACACGGUCCAGACUCCUAC
rnacentral:rRNA from 1 species